AGGACAGAGUUACAGCAUCACUAACAUCAUCUCUGAGGACAGAGGAGAAUAUUACUGUGAGGCCCAGAAUGGAAGAGGAUCUAUGAACUCUACAGCUCUGAUGAUCAUUGUAGCAGGGAAACAGACCUCAGUUGUGACUGCAGCUGUAGGAAUCACAGUGGUUGUUCUGGUUCUCAUCCUCUGUCUCUCUGGACUCAUGUGGUUCAGG